CCGUGUUUUGCUCAAAAAUUAAACGUAUUUACGGCGUGCAAACGCACGCCGUAGUAAUCUGUCCUAAAAAACCUAAUUAAACACGACAUUUUUCUCCCAUUCAUAACUUCUCCUCCUUCUCUCAAUUCACUGUGCCUCCUACCGUUCUUUUUCCCCAUCAACCCAGUGCUUCUUGUGCAGCCACUAGUCCACCACAACCACCAUCCUUGACUCCGCCUCUCCACGACUUUGCCCGGCGCCUCAACUCUCACUCUCCGCCUUUCACUGUCAACCACGGGCGCCAGCUCUCACCCUUGUCGGUCGCCUCCCAGGACCCAAAUCAAAAUAUUUCUAUAAGGACAGGCUUUUAGUUAUAGUUGAAGACAUUGCACAAGAAAAAGCAAGAAAACACAGCCCCAGUGCACUUUGCAUGCCUAUCUAUCUUUGAUCACAUCGCACACUGUUUGUGUGUGGGAGAGGGAAAGAAAUUGCACAGGCAAAAAACAAGAUAAUAAAUGAAGAAAAGCAUAAUCAAACACUCACUCUGGUGAAGUUACAAAAACAACCCAUGUACAGGCAGCUUACAAAUGAGCGUUGCUGAAGUCUCAUCCAGAUCGAGCUCCGCACUCAUGUGGUUGGAAAGCAUUCUUUUGUUUGUAAAGUAACUUAUUAGUGUUGGUUGAACUUAUGUCUGUUGGUUGAGAAGCCAUCAGUUAUCAAUCAGGCAUGUCAUUUGUUGAACUUAUGUCUGUCGGUUGAGGAAAUUGAAAGUAUUUGUUACAUUUAUUGAUACAUUUUAUUUAUAUAUGAUAAAUGUUUGUGUUAAUUUUUUCA